ACUCCUACGGGAGGCAGCAGUGGGGAAUUUUGGACAAUGGGCGAAAGCCUGAUCCAGCAAUGCCGCGUGCAGGAUGAAGGCCUUCGGGUUGUAAACUGCUUUUGUACGGAACGAAAAAGCUCCUUCUAAUACAGGGGGCCCAUGACGGUACCGUAAGAAUAAGCACCGGCUAACUACGUGCCAGCAGCCGCGGUAAUACGUAGGGUGCGAGCGUUAAUCGGAAUUACUGGGCGUAAAGCGUGCGCAGGCGGUUAUGUAAGACAGAUGUGAAAUCCCCGGGCUCAACCUGGGAACUGCAUUUGUGACUGCAUGGCUAGAGUACGGUAGAGGGGGAUGGAAUUCCGCGUGUAGCAGUGAAAUGCGUAGAUAUGCGGAGGAACACCGAUGGCGAAGGCAAUCCCCUGGACCUGUACUGACGCUCAUGCACGAAAGCGUGGGGAGCAAACAGGAUUAGAAACCCUAGUAGUCCCAUGA
rnacentral:rRNA from 1 species